GGAGCAUUCCAAGGAGAAGAAGUGAAACGGAAAAUAAAGACCAGUUUUGUAUACGCUCCUUGUGGUCCUGUAUGUGAGCAAGAACAUGACCGCACUGAAGUCCAAUUAUGCAGGUCACUGCAGCUGUUAAGGAGCUUAAAAGACCUUCAGGAUCGAAAGGAGCAUGACACCAUGAAGGUGAACUUUCUGAAACUUGGCUGUUUGUCAUAUUACAUUCCUUCAGGUUUCUGUACACAGGUUUUGCAUAUAGAUGGUCAAUACCAAGAACAUAGCGAUCAAUCAUUCCAGCUGAAUUACAAGCUGGUCCAAGAUCACCUCUUACAGAACAUUUCACCAUGUAAGCAUAGCUGCCAUUGAUUGGAAGCAUAGAAGAAGUUGGACUUGAUAUUUCAAAUCUCCAAUCAGGAACAUAUAAACCAUAUACUAAUCCCAGAUACAUUGCUGACAAUGAAAAUGCCAAAAUCCAGUGCCAAUAAUAACUCUUGAAGAAACCUACUUCCCUGUGUGUUCGACGUGACAGCCAGAUCUCACAUAAAGCCGCAACAAUGUAGCCAAUAGAUAUUCUCUGCAAAAUGCCCAGCCAACGUAUUCUUUCAAUGUCAACACCAUAGGUCAAAGAAUUUAUCCCAUGAAAAUAACCACCUUGAAGAAAAACACCCAGCAAAAAUAGUUUUACUGCCCUUAGCACUGCCUUCCGUGUGGCAUCUACUCUGUUUGAUACUUUCUUAUAGACAAGAGCCAGAGAAACUCCAGCUACGAAAAGAAAGAAAGGCAUCACAAUAUCUGCCAAGCGAAGGCCGUUCCAAGGAGAAUGAGCAAUAAUUGGGAAAAUCGAACCCACAUAAUCAACAAGCAUCAUUAGAAAGACACAGAGGCCGCGAAAGA
rnacentral:misc_RNA from 1 species